rnacentral:rRNA from 1 species
CACGUAGGGGGCAAGCGUUGUCCGGAAUCAUUGGGCGUAAAGAGCGUGUAGGCGGCCCGAUAAGUCCGCUGUGAAAGUCCAGGGCUCAACCCUGGAAUGCCGGUGGAUACUGUCGGGCUCGAAUCCGGAAGAGGUGAGUGGAAUUCCGUGGUGUAGCGGUGAAAUGCGCAGAUAUCAGGAGGAACACCAAUGGCGAAGGCAGCUCACUGGGACGGUAUUGACGCUGAGACGCGAAAGCGUGGGGAGCAAACAGG